rnacentral:rRNA from 1 species
UGCAGUUGAGCGACGAACCAGGGCUUGCCCUGGGGCAAAGCAGCGAACGGGUGAGUAACACGUGGGUAACCUGCCCCGAUGACCGGGACAACCCGAGGAAACUCGGGCUAAUACCGGAUGUGCUCGCCGGACUCAAGUCCGGCGCGUAAAGGUAGCUUCGGCUUCCGCUUCGGGAGGGGCCCGCGGCCCAUUAGCUAGUUGGUGAGGUAACGGCUCACCAAGGCAGCGAUGGGUAGCUGGUCUGAGAGGACGAUCAGCCACACUGGGACUGAGACACGGCCCAGACUCCUACGGGAGGCAGCAGUGGGGAAUCUUGCGCAAUGCGCGAAAGCGUGACGCAGCAACGCCGCGUGGGGGAAGAAGGCCUUCGGGUUGUAAACCCCUUUCAGGAGGGACGAAGGCACGGCGGUUAAUAGCCGUCCGUGCUGACGGUACCUCCAGAAGAAGCCCCGGCUAACUACGUGCCAGCAGCCGCGGUAAUACGUAGGGGGCAAGCGUUGUCCGGAAUCAUUGGGCGUAAAGCGCGCGUAGGCGGCCCGGUAAGUCCGCUCUGAAAGUCCAGGGCUCAACCCUGGAAAGCGGGUGGAUACUGCCGGGCUAGAGUCCGGAAGANGCGAGUGGAAUUCCUGGUGUAGCGGUGGAAUGCGCAGAUAUCNNAGGAACACCGAUAGCGAAAGGCAGCUCGCUGGGACGGUACUGACGCUAAGCGCGAAAGCGUGGGGAGCGAACAGGAUUAGAUACCCUGGUAGUCCACGCCGUAAACGAUGGGCACUAGUGUGGGAGGUGUCGACUCCUCCCGUGCCGCCGCUAACGCAUUAAGUGCCACGCCUGGGGGAGUACGGCNGCAAGGCUAAAACUCAAAGGANUGACGG